rnacentral:rRNA from 1 species
UACAGAGGGGGCAAGCGUUGUCCGGAAUUACUGGGCGUACAGCGCGCGCAGGCGGUUGCCGACGUGCCGUGUGACAAACGGGGGCUCAACCCCCGAGGGCCACGGUAAACGGGGCGACUGGAGGAAGGGAGAGGGAUGUGGAAUGCCCGGUGGAGCGGUGAAAUGCGUAGAGAUCGGGCGGAACACCAGCGGCGAAGGCGGCGAUCUGGGCAGAUACUGACGCUGAGGUGCGAAAGCGUGGGGAGCAAACAGG